rnacentral:rRNA from 1 species
UUGAACGCUGGCGGCAUGCCUUACACAUGCAAGUCGAACGGCAGCACGGGAGCAAUCCUGGUGGCGAGUGGCGAACGGGUGAGUAAUAUAUCGGAACGUGCCCGGUCGUGGGGGAUAACGUAGCGAAAGCUACGCUAAUACCGCAUACGAUCUACGGAUGAAAGCGGGGGAUCGCAAGACCUCGCGCGAUUGGAGCGGCCGAUAUCAGAUUAGGUAGUUGGUGAGGUAAAGGCUCACCAAGCCGACGAUCUGUAGCUGGUCUGAGAGGACGACCAGCCACACUGGGACUGAGACACGGCCCAGACUCCUACGGGAGGCAGCAGUGGGAAUUUUGGACAAUGGGCGCAAGCCUGAUCCAGCAAUGCCGCGUGCAGGAUGAAGGCCUUCGGGUUGUAAACUGCUUUUGUACGGAACGAAACGGUGAGCUCUAAUACAGUUUGCUAAUGACGGUACCGUAAGAAUAAGCACCGGCUAACUACGUG